GAUGAACGCUGGCGGCGUGCCUAAUACAUGCAAGUCGAGCGAACAGACGAGGAGCUUGCUCCUUCGACGUUAGCGGCGGACGGGUGAGUAACACGUAUGUAACCUACCUAUAAGACUGGGAUAACUUCGGGAAACCGGAGCUAAUCCCGGAGAAUAUUUCGAACCGCAUGGUUCGAUAGUGAAAGAUGGCUUUGCUAUCACUUAUAGAUGGACCUGCGCCGUAUUAGCUAGUUGGUAAGGUAACGGCUUACCAAGGCAAGGAUACGUAGCCGACGUAAGAGGGUGAUCGCCCACACUGGAACUGAGACGCGGUCCAGACUCCUAAGGGAGGCAGCAGUAGGGAACCUUCCGCAAUGGGCGAAAGCCUGACGGAGCAACGCCGCGUGAGUGAUGAAGGUCUUCGGAUCGUAAAACUCUGUUAUUAGGGAAGAACAACCGUGUAAGUAACUGUGCACGUCUUGACGGUACCUAAUCAGAAAGCCACGGCUAACUACGUG
rnacentral:rRNA from 1 species